rnacentral:rRNA from 1 species
CUACGUGCCAGCAGCCGCGGUAAUACGGAGGAUGCGAGCGUUAUCCGGAUUUAUUGGGUUUAAAGGGUGCGUAGGCGGCCUGUUAAGUCAGCGGUGAAAUCUAGGAGCUUAACUCCUAAAUUGCCAUUGAUACUGGCGGGCUUGAGUGUAGAUGAGGUAGGCGGAAUGCGUGGUGUAGCGGUGGAAUGCAUAGAUAUCACGCAGAACUCCGAUUGCGAAGGCAGCUUACUAAGGUACAACUGACGCUGAAGCACGAAAGCGUGGGUAUCAAACAGGAUUAGAUACCCUGGUAGUCCACGCAGUAAACGAUGAUAACUGGGCGUAUGCGAUAUACAGUAUGCUCCUAAGCGAAAGCGUUAAGUUAUCCACCUGGGGAGUACGCCGGCAACGGUGAAACUCAAAGGAAUUGACGGGGGCCCGCACAAGCGGAGGAACAUGUGGUUUAAUUCGAUGAUACGCGAGGAACCUUACCCGGGAUUGAA